GUGCCGACAAAUGGUCUGAGAAGGUGAGGUGGUUCUCUGAAUUGGUGUCAAGCAACUCAGCUGAGGGUUUGUGUUUUUUGCCGCUGCCAGUCGGGCAGCCUCUGGAACAGGAUGAGCCUCUGAGGUGCCCUAGGCAACGGCAGCUGUGGGACCUGAAGUUUGAGCGAGCAGACAGCAGAUGAUGAAGAGGAACCUGGUGACUGCAGGAUUGAUCCAGUUAACAGAUGUGGUUCGAGCUGCUUUGGCUAAGGACAGUUUCAGUCGUGGUCCUCUGAAAGCUAAGUUCAGGGACCGGGGCUGGGAAGAAGGGAGGAGGUUGAGGAUGGCAGGGAGGGGUUUUGAAGGUAACAUAGUGGAGAGGGCCCCGCAGGGUGAGUCCCGUUUGGGUCGGUAAACGCAGAGGGGCCUGCUUCUCAACCCAAAACUAGCACUGGCAGGGCAGUUCCAGCCAGUGUCUGAUGUCAUCUAGUUUCUGUAGUCUGUGUGCCACGUCUUAAGUUUUCUGCAGGUCUUGACGUCCUCUUUGCACUCAAGGCAUGCUGGACGUGCCUUGGGCACCAUUGAUGAGCAAAAGCGAACAAGGGGGGUUGGGAGUGUUUGUUAGAGCUUGGCGUUCUUUGCCUUGAAGACCUUGGAAGUUGGUGACGAAGGAGCCAGCUAGCAGAAGUUUCCUGCUAAGUGGGCAUUGCAAUGCAGAAAGCUGGCUGCAUUUGGUUCAGGCGUUUGAAAGCAGCCAGAGGAGACCGAGUCCGUGCAAAGUUCAAAAAGAAAAAUAUUCAUCCCGAGCAAGACUUCCUACUUCAUCUCUAAGACCCCGGCCCACGACCUUCAGGAGGCACUACGCAGGCGCGAGACUGGAGCGAACUUUCCAGAACUAAUUAUAAUACGAAGCGGGUAAAGGGUAUGAAUACGUAGUAGGCGCUUAUACCCAUGCAUGUCUUUA